rnacentral:snRNA from 1 species
GUGCUCACUUUGACAGUACACAUACUAAAACUGGAAAGAUACAAUGAUACAAAGAUUAGAAUGGCCCCUGCACAUAGAUGACUAAAUUCUUGAAGUGUUCCAUAUUUAA